GGGAGGUAGUGACAAUAAAUAACAAUACGGGGUCCUUUCGGGUCUUGUAAUUGGAAUGAGUACAAUUUAAAUCUCUUAACGAGGAACAAUUGGAGGGCAAGUCUGGUGCCAGCAGCCGCGGUAAUUCCAGCUCCAAUAGCGUAUAUUAAAGUUGUUGCAGUUAAAAAGCUCGUAGUUGAAUUUCGGGAUCAGUACGCUGGUCGUACCUUCGGUACGUACUGGUGUCGCUGAUUCCUCCCUUCUGAAGAACCGUCAUGCCAUUCAGUUGGUGUGGCAGGGAAUCAGGACUGUUACUUUGAAAAAUUAGAGUGUUUAAAGCAGGCUCGCGCUUGAAUACAUUAGCAUGGAAUAAUGAAAUAGGUCGCUUGAUCCUAUUUUGUUGGUUUCUAGGAUCGACGUAAUGAUUAAUAGGGAUAGUUGGG
rnacentral:rRNA from 1 species